rnacentral:rRNA from 1 species
AUUGAACGCUGGCGGCAUGCCUUACACAUGCAAGUCGAACGGCAGCGCGGACUUCGGUCUGGCGGCGAGUGGCGAACGGGUGAGUAAUACAUCGGAACGUACCCUGUUGUGGUGGAUAACUAGUCGAAAGAUUAGCUAAUACCGCAUACGACCUGAGCGUGAAAGUGGGGGACCGCAAGGCCUCACGCAGCAGGAGCGGCCGAUGUCUGACUAGCUAGUUGGUGGGGUAAAGGCCCACCAAGGCGACGAUCAGUAGCUAGUCUGAGAGGACGAUCGGCCACACGGGAACUGGAACACGGCCCAGACUCCUGCGGGAGGCAGCAGUGGGGAAUUUUAGACAAUGGGGGCAAACCUGAUACAGCGAGGCCGCGUGUGUGGAGAAGGCCUUCGGGUUGUAAAGCCCUUUUGUCCGGAAAGAAAUCGCGCUGGUUAAUACCUGGCGUGGAUGACGGUACCGGAAGAAUAAGCACCGGCUAACUACGUG